rnacentral:rRNA from 1 species
GGGCAGACGUGUGGAUGCCUUGGCACCAGGGGCUGAUGAAGGACGUGGGAGGCCGCGAUAGGCCUGGGGGAGCUGUCAACCGAGCUGUGAUCCCAGGGUUUCCGAAUGGGGUAACCCGGCACCAGUAUGUGUGGUGUCACUCGUGCCUGAAUUCAUAGGGUACGGGGAGGUACGCGGGGAAGUGAAACAUCUCAGUACCCGCAGGAGGAGAAAACAAAUUGUGAUUCCGUGAGUAGUGGCGAGCGAAAGCGGAGGAGCCUAAACCGGUUGCGUGUGAUACCUGUCAGGGGUUGCGUGGCCGGGGUUGUGGGGCGCUCAUGUCACCAUGCUGACACGUGGUGGGGCAGUGAGAAAGUCCAUGGUUAGCCGAAGCCGUUGGGAAGCGGUGCCGUAGACGGUGAUAGUCCGGUAGGUGAAAGCUGUGGGCCUGUCUUGUGGGUGUUCCCGAGUAGCGGUGGACUCCUGGAAUCUGCCGUGAAUCUGCCAGGACCAUCUGGUAAGGCUAAAUACUUCCUGGUGACCGAUAGUGGACGAGUACCGUGAGGGAAAGGUGAAAAGUACCCCGGGAGGGGAGUGAAAGAGUACCUGAAACCGUCUGCCUACAAUCCGUCAGAGCUGUCGUGCCCUCUUCGGGGGGUGUGGUGGUGAUGGCGUGCCUUUUGAAGAAUGAGCCUGCGAGUCAGUGGUGCGUGGCGAGGUUAACCCGGGUGGGGUAGCCGUAGCGAAAGCGAGUCUGAAUAGGGCGUUGAGUCGCGUGUCCUGGACCCGAAGCGGAGUGAUCUAGCCAUGGGCAGGCUGAAGCGCCGGUAAGACGGCGUGGAGGGCCGAACCCACCAGCGUUGAAAAGCUGGGGGAUGACCUGUGGUUAGGGGUGAAAGGCCAAUCAAACUUCGUGAUAGCUGGUUCUCCCCGAAAUGCAUUUAGGUGCAGCGUCGUGUGUUGCUUGCCGGAGGUAGAGCACUGGUUGGCCUAGGGGCCUUACCGGGUUACUGAAGUCAGCUAAACUCCGAAUGCCGGUAAGUUGAGCACGGCAGUGAGACUGCGGGGGAUAAGCUUCGUAGUCGAGAGGGAAACAGCCCAGAUCGCCAGCUAAGGCCCCUAAGUGUGUGCUGAGUGGAAAAGGAUGUGGGGUCGCGUAGACAACCAGGAGGUUGGCUUAGAAGCAGCCAUCCUUGAAAGAGUGCGUAAUAGCUCACUGGUCAAGUGGUUCUGCGCCGACAAUGUAGCGGGGCUUAAGUACACCGCCGAAGCUGCGGCACCUGUGCGUGUGCCUGGCCUGCCUCUUUCGGGGGGUGGGUUUGGGUGUGCAGGUGGGUAGGGGAGCGUCCUGUCACCGGUGAAGCCGUGGCGUGAGCUAACGGUGGAGGUGGUGGGAGUGAGAAUGCAGGCAUGAGUAGCGAAUGCAGGGUGAGAAUCCCUGCCGCCGGAUGACCAAGGGUUCCAGGGUCAAGCUUGUCUGCCCUGGGUGAGUCGGGACCUAAGGCGAGGCCGUGAGGCGUAGUCGAUGGACAACGGGUUGAUAUUCCCGUACCCGCGGGUGAGCGCCCACGACGAGGCAGUCUGUGCUAACCAUCCGAUCCUGUCGUGUUCUGGCCUUUCGGGGCUGGGCGUGAUGGGGGAGCGUGGGGUCCCGGAUUGUAGUAGUUGAGCGAUGGGGUGACGCAGGAAGGUAGCUGAUCCCGGCCGGUGGUUGUGCCGGGGCAAGCGUGUGGCCCGCACCAUAGGCAAAUCCGUGGUGCGUGUGGGUGAGGCGUGAUGCGGAGCCGAUUCAGGCGAAGUCAGUGAUCCUAUGCUGCCGAGAAAAGCCUCUAGCGAGCUCACUGCGGCCCGUACCCUAAACCGACACAGGUGGUCAGGUAGAGAAUACCGAGGCGAUCGGGUGAACUGUGGUUAAGGAACUCGGCAAGUUGCCCCCGUAACUUUGGGAGAAGGGGGGCCAUUCCUGGUGAAGACCCUGGCGGUUGGAGCUGGGGGUGGCCGCAGAGACCAGGGGGAAGCGACUGUUUACUAAAAACACAGGUCCAUGCGAAGUCGUAAGACGCUGUAUAUGGACUGACGCCUGCCCGGUGCUGGAACGUUAAGGGGACCUGUCAGCCUCCUUCGGGGGGUGAAGCGGUGAACCGAAGCGCCAGUAAACGGCGGUGGUAACUAUAACCAUCCUAAGGUAGCGAAAUUCCUUGUCGGGUAAGUUCCGACCUGCACGAAUGGCGUAACGACUUCCCCACUGUCUCAACCACAGACCCGGCGAAAUUGCACUACGAGUAAAGAUGCUCGUUACGCGCGGCAGGACGGAAAGACCCCGGGACCUUUACUGCAGCUUGAUAUUGGUGCUUGGAGCGGUUUGUGUAGGAUAGGUGGGAGCCUGUGAAGCGGUCACGCCAGUGGUCGUGGAGGCGUCGUUGAAAUACCACUCUGACUGGUCUGGGCAUCUAACCUCGGGCCCUGAAUCGGGUCCAGGGACAGUGUCUGGUGGGUAGUUUAACUGGGGCGGUUGCCUCCUAAAGGGUAACGGAGGCGCCCAAAGGUUCCCUCAGCCUGGUUGGCAAUCAGGUGUUGAGUGUAAGUGCAUAAGGGAGCUUGACUGUGAGACUGACGGGUCGAGCAGGAGCGAAAGCUGGGACUAGUGAUCCGGCACUUG